rnacentral:rRNA from 1 species
CACGUAGGGCGCAAGCGUUGUCCGGAUUUAUUGGGCGUAAAGCGCCCGCAGGCGGUGCAACAAGUUGCGAGUGACAGGUGGUGGCUUAACUGCCACAGGGCUUGGAAAACUGUUGCACUUGAGGGCUUGAGAGGGACGCGGAAUUCCAGGUGGAGCGGUGAAAUGCGUAGAGAUCUGGAAGAACACCAAAAGGCGAAGGCAGCGUCCUGGCAAGCAUCUGACGCUCAUGGGGCGAAAAGCUGAGGGGAGCGAAACGGGGG